UGGGCGCACCACUACUCCUGG
rnacentral:misc_RNA from 1 species